rnacentral:lncRNA from 1 species
GGUCCCCCGCCGUGCGCCCCCGGUCCCGCGCCCAGGCUCCCGCCCCUGGCCUCCUUACCAGCCACUUGUCGCCCAGCUGCGAACUGGAGCGGGAGGCGGCGGCCGGAGGGCCCAGGACAGCCCCGGGAGGGCGGCGAGGCGGAGCAGGAGCGCCCCGGCUCCGGCCACAUUCUCAGAGUCAGGAAAAGGGGCGAGAGGCCACAUGUCUCCCUCUCGCCCAACUGAAAACGAAACGGCGCUCCAGCAGAUUGGGUGGAAAGAGCUGGGUCUCUUUUCUCUGUUUUUCACGCUAGAAAGGGCUUGUAAACAUUGUUCCUUUUAAAAUGACCUACCCCAGGCAUUUGUUUGGGCACACUUCUGUCCUGGGGUCAUCGUUCCUAGGUGGCUUCGGACCUGGGACUUUUCCUGUAUCUGCACAUUGUCGUUUUAUACACAAUUGCCAAGGUGGGACUGCUUUCAACUUUACUGUGCUUGAAGCUGCAAAGGUUCUGCCCUGAUGUUUCCUGGAAUAAUGCUGAGGACUGCCUUUCGGGUAGCCGCCCUAUUCAGUUCACUUCAUCUCGGAAAUACCUGACCCCUGCCUUGGAUCCAGCGGCCCUCCUGAGAGCUGAGGAAGGAGGAAAUCCUAUGUGUCUGCUCCCGGAGCUGCCACAACCCAUCUUCCCACAACUCGGAACUUGGAAAAAGGAACCCAGGACACGACUUUGCUUUUCUUUUGGACCUAGUUGAAGUCACAGCUUGGAGGAAACCAGUUUGCACUAUUUGAUGAGGAAUUUGGCCACCAAACCACUGAUACUUUCCCAAAGGUUUGGCAGAAAUUGUUUUUUGAGUGGCUCACCAGAGUACCCAGAAGAAUCAGUAUGGAAUUAGAGGACAGUGGCCUACCCUAAAUAAAGACAUGAGUGAUGUAUAAAGUCUAGUGUCAAUUUAUUCAGAAAAUAUCAAAAUUAUUCUGGGAGCUAUGGGUCAAAGUUGAUAGGCACAAACAAACAAAAACGAAAGGUAUUUUAAAUUCACAGCUUGGAUAAGUAAAAGGGAGAUGUUGUCAUUUCUCUUCUUCAAUCCAACUUUAGAUUUUCAAGCCGGAAAAAGGGUAAUUAGAAGUUAGAAAUUGUUAUUGCCAGAAAAUAGCUCUAAACCCUGAAAAAAAAAAAAAAAAAAAAAAAAACUGACCCUCCUCUUGGGGAGUGAUAAACCUCAAUUACUGUUGAUAGUAAAACUGAUAUCAACUCUUCGAAACCAGUGAAAGGUGAAUGGAAACCUUACCCUAGGUUAAGGUUUAAAAAAUGUUCAUAAUAUAUAUUUGAAAGUUCCAUUAUUUAAAAUAUUCAUUAGACAUGCUUUGUAAUGUUAAGUUACUUCAAAAAAUCUUACACAAGGGAAGGGAAGUAUGUAUUAUUCCUUCAUUUAAGAGAAAGAUAAUGUGUGAAUAUUAGUUAAUAUUUAUCGUACAUUUACUACCUGUGUCGAAGCGUAGUGUUACACACUUAAUUUCAAUUAUUUAAUUUGAUUCUAACAAUGAAUCCCCUGAGAUGGAUAAUAUCCUCUUCAUUUUACAGAUGAGACAAUUGAGACUUAAAGGUUAAACAAAUGAUUUCCUAAGCUCAUUCAGCUAAUAAACGGUAGGGGACUGCUUGACACCAGUCCAGUUGACCCUCAAAUCCAUGAUUUCUGCCACCAUAUUCACAGAAACAAGACAAGAGCUGAAAAUAUAGCCUGACUCUUGAAACAGUCAAAGAAUUGUGUAUGUUUAUGAAAGUUCUGAUUAAUAAGAUAUUCUGAGGACAAAAGACAAGGCAUGGGUAGAGGGGCAAUGUGUAGAUUAGAAUGUAUCACAAUGCCCACUAAAUAGUAAAACCAUAGAAAAUGAAAUUUAAUCCUUACUGUGUAGAAUAUUUAGAGUAGAUUGUUUUUUCCUCGGUGUCAAUUACUAUUACAACUAUCAAAGAAUGAAAUUAAACAAGAAACGGUUCCUUUGGUUUUUUUUUUUAAAGGUGGGAGUUAUAAAAACAGUAUUUGCCAUCUGGUUUUAGUUAUGGCUGUGGAAAUUCUAUGGGUACAAUUUGUUGUCAUUGUUGUUACCACUACCAAUACAGAGAUGCUAAUUGUAACAUCAGUUUCUAAAUCAGAUAGUGAAUAAUUACAUUUUCAAUGUUUUCUUAACAUAGAUACAAGUUAACAGGAUAUGCUUCUGGCCUGUUUCUGGAUUCUAAGGGUAGAACCAGCAUAAAACUAGUCAGUCCAAGUAUUUCUAAAGAUCCACAGACACAGUUCUCCUGGAUUUGGGAAGCCUAGAGAUAUUAGCACAAUAAUUAAGGCCCAAGUGAGUAUAAAAUUUUAUCUGAAAUUGAAGAGAUAUUGAUUAGAUAAUCCACAGAGACUACUUUUUAGUGAUUAUCUUCCACCAGGGUAAAAGCAACAGCAGCCUGAAAAUGCAAAAGACCAUACAUUUUAAUGGUAAGUCCUCCCCAGGAAGGAUUAAUAAAUCUCAGGAGGAAGAUUUAUUAUCUGUAAAUCCAGGAGGAAGAAAUCAAGAUGAAAACUAUCAUAUUUAUAAAUUUGAUUGUUGCAAUUUUAUAGUUUGACAUAGUGCAAUUGCUUUAGAUUUGAAGGGGAACUUACUUUAGAGUAAGUCACUCAAUCUCUUUUUUGGAAAGGCAAAUGCCACACCUGAUCCUCAUCACUCCCUUCUCCUUUGUCCAUAGCCUGGCUUUAUUCUGCCAUUAACACACACACACACACACACACACACACACACACAAAUUGGGAAGAGGAUUUCUCAUUUUACAGAAAGUAUGCUGGGCUACACAGGAUAUUCUAUCAGGUUUCUUCCAGCUAUAAAAUUCUGAGACUAAAUAUCAAAUUAAAGAAAGUACUAAUUGUCAGCGAUGGGGGAUGUACUGCUAUUUGCUUCUAGUGGUACUCACUGCUCAUUUCCUAUAUUCACUGGUAUAAAAAAAUUUCAAACACCCUCAAAAAAGCCUAUACUGGUGGUACCAGGAAAACGCUGAAAAUCAUUACUUUCUGUGUGGUGUCCAGCUCUUUUGGUUACAUCAUCACUUCGACCAUUCACUUUUAAAGAAAAACUUUUGUGGAACAAAAAUAUAAAGAUUUAUUUUUUUUCUUGGUGGCUUAGCACAGUGGCCUAAUGUGGCUGACCAUGUGCACCUGUUGUGUGAGUCACUUAGACGUGCUUUGUUUCUUGGUCACAGUUGAUCCCUCAACUCAAGCAUCUCACCCUCAAAAUGUUUGUUUGGGACCCAAGAGGCAAACCUUGAGAUGGGUUAUUUCUUUCACCUUGGAUUGGCUCAUCUGCUGGGAGUGGAGCCAAGCUGACAUUUCCUUUCCUUUUUGUCUGCCUAUCACUACGUAGAGGCAGCACAUAAGAGAGGGAAAGCCAUGCGCGUGGAGUCCAGCACAUCACCCAGAAGGCAGAUGUUCUAUCUCCAUUUUACUCAUUAAAACAAACAAAACCACACCUGGAUUGCCUGGUACUUAAAUAAAAUGCACUAUGAUGAUUGAAGAAAAAUAUCUUAUAUUUAAGGAAUAGUUUUAAUAGCUUACAUCUGUAUUUCUAUUAGCUUCCGUUUCUAUUUUUAAUAUUUGUAUAAUAUUAAAAGUAAUUUUAAAAAUGAACUAAUCUUUUUACAUCUCUUAUGAGAAUUUAAUGGAGAUAUGAUGUUUGAAGAUCAAAGAUACGUGGUAUUUGAAAUCAGAAAAUGUGUUUGCUUUUCUACACAGAUUACAAAUAUCAUGCAUUAUUUCACAAACUCUUCUCAAAGUGUUGAUUUUAAAAUUAGUAAAAGGAGGGUAUAUUCAUAUCACAUCCUGGCAUUUUUAUAGGCAAGAUUGAGC